rnacentral:lncRNA from 1 species
GAAUGUUGGGAACCGAUCUGAUUCCAAGGAUUGAGAAGUUUUGCAGUGGUCAACUGGUAUAGACAUCCCAUUACCACUACUUCCUUCAUUGGACUGCAAGGUAUUUCUGUUUGGAAAAGUAAUGGAGUCCAGUCAACUUCAUUGAUCGCCAAGGACUGUCAAAAUUAUAAAACUUGCUGUGGAGCUCUGACAUGCCAGAAGCCGCUAGAAAAAGAAGUUUGACAUUCAGAAACUUAUCAAGAGGUUCUACUCUUUGGAUAGAGACCAAAAUCAUACUUUGAAUGAUAUGCAAUGCAAGACUCCCAAGAUUCUGGGCAGUGGCAGGGAGGUGCAGCUUCUAGUCUGCCGCAUGAUCACAAUGUCAGCUGGUCCCUCUUCUCAGGUGUAGAUCACCUAUUAUAAUUUUACCUAAUUUUGAUACUCUGAUAAGGAAAGUCCCAGGACUUAUCAGCUGGGAUAGGCCUCACUUACAAGACAGCUCUGUUCAGUAUUUGGAAGAAAGCCUGACAGGUUUCUUCGGAAAAGUGGCCAUCCAUGGAAUGAAUGAAAUGUUCUCUUUCUAUUCCAGGGAUUGCAGUGGCAAAGCUAGGCUAGGUCUUGGAGGCUGGUGUAAGGCGAUGUGGGUGAAGGCAGGAGGCUGAUGGAAAGACUGGGGGGAAGAAAAGCCGAAAUGGAUUCACGGUGCCUUGGAUGAAGGACGAGAGGGGAACUGCAAGCUCCUUCAACUGGUUCUGUCCGGUGAGAAGUGAUCAAGCUUGGGCUGACAAGAGGCUCAGGGAGCCCUCACGUUCUUUCGCUUUUUUACCUGCCAAUCAAACUGCUACAAGACAACACCCUGAUCUGGCAUGGACAUUCAUUGCAGUCACCUGGAGUCACGGAAAUGACCAUGAUUGCCUGAACUUUCAUGACUUCUGUGGAUAACUGUGGUUGCAGAAAAGAGAAAACCUGGACCGUGAGGGACAUUUCACUCCCUGGGCUUUGCCUUGGUUGUUUACUUGUAUCUAAGACAGAGGUGUCCAAUAUUUUGGCUUCCCUGGGCCACAAUGGAAGAAGAAUAGUCUUGGGCCACACAUAAAAUACACUAAUGCUAACAAUAGCUGAUGAGCUAAAAAAUAAAAAUAAAAAUACGCCGGGCACGGUGGCCCACACCUGGAAUCCCAGCACUUUGGGACGACGAGGCAGGCGGAUCACAA